CCGCCGGCUUUGUAUUUCACCCU
rnacentral:siRNA from 1 species